GCUUGUCUCAAAGAUUAAGCCAUGCAUGUCUAAGUAUAAGCAACCUUAUACAGCGAAACUGCGUACAGCUCAUUAUAUCAGCAAUUAUUUAUUUGAAGAUCACCUAUUACAUGGAUAACCGUGGUAAUUCUAGAGCUAAUACAUGCUGGUUAGCCUGACUUUUAGGAAGGGCUGUAUUUAUUAGAUAACAAACCAAUAUUCCUCGUGUCUAUUGUGAUGACUCAUAAUAACUGAUCGAAUCGCAUGGGCCUUGCCCGCGAUACAUCAUUCAAGUUUCUGCCCCAUCAGCUUUCGAUGGUAGUGUAUUGGACUACCAUGGCUUUAACGGGUAACGGAGGAUUAGGGUUCGAUUCCGGAGAGGGAGCCUGAGAAACGGCUACCACAUCUAAGGAAGGCAGCAGG
rnacentral:rRNA from 1 species